rnacentral:rRNA from 1 species
CUCCUACGGGAGGCAGCAGUGGGGAAUAUUGGACAAUGGGGGGAACCCUGAUCCAGCCAUGCCGCGUGUGUGAAGAAGGCCUUUUGGUUGUAAAGCACUUUAAGCGAGGAGGAGGCUCCUAUAGAUAAUACCUAUAGUGAGUGGACGUUACUCGCAGAAUAAGCACCGGCUAACUCUGUGCCAGCAGCCGCGGUAAUACAGAGGGUGCGAGCGUUAAUCGGAUUUACUGGGCGUAAAGCGUACGUAGGCGGCUUUUUAAGUCGGAUGUGAAAUCCCUGAGCUUAACUUAGGAAUUGCAUUCGAUACUGGGAAGCUAGAGUAUGGGAGAGGAUGGUAGAAUUCCAGGUGUAGCGGUGAAAUGCGUAGAGAUCUGGAGGAAUACCGAUGGCGAAGGCAGCCAUCUGGCCUAAUACUGACGCUGAGGUACGAAAGCAUGGGGAGCAAACAGGAUUAGAUACCCUGGUAGUCCAUGCCGUAAACGAUGUCUACUAGCCGUUGGGGCCUUUGAGGCUUUAGUGGCGCAGCUAACGCGAUAAGUAGACCGCCUGGGGAGUACGGUGGCAAGACUAAAACUCAAAUGAAUUGACGGGGGCCCGCACAAGCGGUGGAGCAUGUGGUUUAAUUCGAUGCAACGCGAAGAACCUUACCUGGUCUUGACAUAGUAAGAACUUUCCAGAGAUGGAUUGGUGCCUUCGGGAACUUACAUACAGGUGCUGCAUGGCUGUCGUCAGCUCGUGUCGUGAGAUGUUGGGUUAAGUCCCGCAACGAGCGCAACCCUUUUCUUUAUUUGCCAGCGGGUUAAGCCGGGAACUUUAAGGAUACUGCCAGUGACAAACUGGAGGAAGGCGGGGACGACGUUAAGUCAUCAUGGCCCUUACGACCAGGGCUACACACGUGCUACAAUGGUCGGUACAAAGGGUUGCUACCUAGCGAUAGGAUGCUAAUCUCAAAAAGCCGAUCGUAGUCCGGAUUGGAGUUUGCAACUUGACUCCAUGAAGUUGGAAUCGCUAGUAAUCGCGGAUCAGAAUGCCGCGGUGAAUACGUUCCCGGGCCUUGUACACACCGCCCGU